CUAACCUGCAUUAAUUCCUCAAAGACAGGGACCAAAUGUCAUCUGUGUAUCAUUCUUAGCAUCUAGCAGUGCCACCCAUUACACACUGGGAAAAUGAUAACGGAACUGUGGUGAAAUUUCAGUGGCUACAAUGGGGGACCACGAGCAGAGUUCAGUGAGCUCUCUGCCACCUCCCGCUAGAUAAGAGAAUGUUGUGAGGGUCAUCACAAGAACAUUAACAACAGUAACAACUGGUGAGCUCUUAACCGUUGUGUCAGGUUUCGUGCUAAGCCCUUUCAAUGCAUUAACUGUUGCUAGAUUCCUACAAUCACACGAAGCAGGUUGUGUCCAUUACACAAAUGAGAAAAAGGAGUUCAAAGUACCCUUUCUGACUGAAGGUCACAUAGCUAAAAUAUAACUAAAUCUGGAUUUACAACGCCCGGUCUCUUCAUCACUAAUACUGAACCAAGAUUUAACUCUGGCAUCAUCAGACAAGAGGUAAGGACACUGAACACGGUGAAUGAACUGGCCUGCCAUUGUCACACAGAUGAUUCAACUAACUUCAACCCUGCACCCAAAUGAUCUGAAAGAUGAAGCCUUUUAGGAGCUGGAGAGGUUUGAACAGCACAUUUCAGAAUGCCCUUUGGCAGAGGAGGAAGGAAUGAAUGCCAAGAAAGAGAUGUCAUUGCAAGGAAGUGGACAUCUGUCACCUGUCUCAAAAAAGUUCACAAAGUGCUAUGCGGGUAACCCAGAGCAUUUAGCCAAAUGUCCCAGUCAAGAUUCCCAGACACACUGGCUCUAACAUCAACAUAGUCUUGUUGGAAAAAGAGGCUGAGCUUGGAUGGUCCUGCCACCUUCCCGACUGGAAAUAUCCUGAGGAUGCUGCUUCUUGGGGCUGCCUUGGUGUGGUGCUGUGGCAGCUGCUGGGCAGAUUCAUGAGGAGCCAGCCCAUGACCCCUGAGCCCUGAGAGUGGGUAGCCAGCCCAGCAGGACAUUCACAGGAGAGGAACAGUGAUCUUAACCUUUAUCCAGGGGGUCUAAGAGUCCCACAAGGGACAGAAUCACAUCCUACUUAUCUGACCCCACAAGGCACCUCAAAUCUACAAGCAUUUUCUUGUUUUUGUUUUUUUAUUGCUAGGGAUGGAACCCAGGGUCUCCUGUGUGCUAGACAAGCACUGAGGCACAUCCCCAGUCCGAGACCAGCCAAGAUCUUUUGAAAAGGUCCAUUGACCUCAUCCUUCCCACUUCACCUUUCAGUCCUUCCCUAUGGCUAAGGAUUAGCAUGUCAGCAAUCUGAAGGUUGGGGUGAGAGAAAGGGCUUAAAGCACCAAUGCCAAUUCUGCCUCUUUUAAAACAAACUUUGGACUUGUGCGAGGCUCUCCUCAGUUGUUUUAAACCUGUUUCAGAGUAGCACCUCUCCUCCUUCAAACUUGUCUUUCAAACUCAGGGAAAUGAAGCCUUUCCAGACAAACUCUAGUGACAGCUCCACUUACCCUGU